AUAGGCUUUUUAUUUUAACAACAAUGUACUCUUAUUGUAUAUAUUUAUUGUUUUACCUUGUUGCAGUUCCUUUUGAUCAAGUUUGCGAACAUGAUUGGUGCAACUGUAUCCAAGUGCUGGAAGCCGGAUGUCACUCAUGUGAUUGCUUCUACAGAUGGGAACGGUGCAUACACCAGGACACUUAAAAGUUCUCAUGGCCAUUUCAAACGGGAAGUGGAUUCUUAAUAUAAAUUGGGUAAAGGAGUGCUUGAAAGCCAUGCAUCCUUUGAGUGAGGAACCUUACAGUUAGUCUCGAUAACCACAGGUGUCGUGAUGGCCCUAAAACUGGCAGACUCGAUAUUGAAUGAUGCACCAAAGCUCUUUGAUGGCUUUAACUUUUAUUUUGUGGGCGAUUUCGUGUCUGGUUACAAGGAAGAUCUUUAAAAUCUGGUUGUCACCGCGGGUGGUAUUGUUCUGAUGAGAAUGGAGGAACUAAUCGAACAUAAUAACAGCAGUGAUCAGACAUCUCAAGCAAAGAUGGUUGUUGUGUAUAACCUGGAUGCUCCCCAAGGAUCCGAGUUAGGAGAAGAGGUUUCAAUUAUUUGGCAGAGGGUUAGUGAAGCACAGGAUUUAGCCUAAAAAA